rnacentral:SRP_RNA from 1 species
UGCCUGGUCCCGCGCAAUGAGCGCCUGCGAACCGUGUCAGGUUGGGAACAAAGCAGCACUAAGCGGGAUUGUUCAUGUGCCGUGGGGGUGCCUGACAUAA